AGUUCUUUAGUAUAAUUAAGUAUGUUUGAUUUCCAAUCAAGGGGUAUUAAGAAUUA
rnacentral:tRNA from 1 species